AACGAACGCUGGCGGCAGGCUUAACACAUGCAAGUCGAACGCAUCGCAAGAUGAGUGGCAGACGGGUGAGUAACGCGUGGGAACAUACCCUUUUCUACGGAAUAGCUCUGGGAAACUGGAAUUAAUACCGUAUACGCCCUACGGGGGAAAGAUUUAUCGGGGAAGGAUUGGCCCGCGUUGGAUUAGCUAGUUGGUGGGGUAAAGGCCUACCAAGGCGACGAUCCAUAGCUGGUCUGAGAGGAUGAUCAGCCACAUUGGGGCUGAGACACGGCCCAAACUCCUACGGGAGGGAGCAGUGGGGAAUAUUGGACAAUGGGCGCAAGCCUGAUCCAGCCAUGCCGCGUGAGUGAUGAAGGCCUUAGGGUUGUAAAGCUCUUUCACCGAUGAAGAUAAUGACGGUAGUCGGAGAAGAAGCCCCGGCUAACUUCGUGCCAGCCGCCGCUGUAA
rnacentral:rRNA from 1 species